rnacentral:rRNA from 1 species
CCUACGGGUGGCAGCAGUGAGGAAUAUUGGUCAAUGGACGCAAGUCUGAACCAGCCAUGCCGCGUGCAGGAAGACGGCUCUAUGAGUUGUAAACUGCUUUUGUACGAGGGUAAACUCAGAUACGCGUAUCUUUCUGAACGUAUCGUACGAAUAAGGAUCGGCUAACUCCGUGCCAGCAGCCGCGGUAAUCCGGAGGAUUCAAGCGUUAUCCGGAUUUAUUGGGUUUAAGGGGUGCGUAGGCGGUCGGAUAAGUUAGAGGUGAAAUCCCGAGGCUCAACUUCGGAAUUGCCUCUGAUACUGUUCGGCUAGAGAGUAGUUGCGGUAGGCGGAAUGUAUGGUGUAGCGGUGAAAUGCUUAGAGAUCAUACAGAACACCGAUUGCGAAGGCAGCUUACCAAGCUACGUCUGACGUUGAGGCACGAAAGCGUGGGGAGCAAACAGGAUUAGAUACCCGUGUAGUC